rnacentral:rRNA from 1 species
GACGAACCGUGCAAACGUUGUUCGGAAUCACUGGGCUUAAAGGGCGCGUAGGCGGGUUGCCAAGUCCGGGGUGAAAGCCUCCAGCUCAACUGGAGAAGUGCCUUGGAUACUGGUGAUCUCGAGGGAGGUAGGGGCAUGCGGAACUUCCGGUGGAGCGGUGAAAUGCGUAGAUAUCGGAAGGAACGCCGGUGGCGAAAGCGGCCACCUGGACUGUACCUGACGCUGAAACGCGAAAGCUAGGGGAGCGAACGGG